CAUUUUGUUACCUACAGUUCCGUAUUCAGGAGGUAUGACCAGGAACCCCAGGGGACCAUUGACGGAUGUAUAACAAAGGAUCAGAAGCUGAUCAGUAGAAUACCUUAUAGGAGCACAGACUUUUAGAGGAAUUUUAUAAAGGCAAACAAGUGGACUGCAUGGAGAGAGGUUCCGAGUAUAAGCUCCAAAGUGAGUGCCCAGUUGUGUGGAUGUCAGCCUUGUUAUUUGUCAAU